rnacentral:rRNA from 1 species
AUUGAACGCUGGCGGCAGGCCUAACACAUGCAAGUCGAGCGAGCGGCGGACGGGUGAGUAAUGUAUGGGGACUGCCCGAUAGAGGGGGAUAACUACUGGAAACGGUAGCUAAUACCGCAUACUAUCGGAUAACCCAUAUGGGAUAAGCUAGUAGGUGAGGUAAUGGCUCACCAAGGCGACGAUCCCUAGCUGGUCUGAGAGGACGAUCAGCCACACUGGGAAUGAGAAACGGCCCAGACUCCUACGGAGGCAGCAGUGGGGAAUAUUGAACAAUGGGGGAAAGCCUGAUCCAGCCAUGCCGCGUGUAUGAAGAAGGCCAUCGGGUUGUAAAGUACUUUUGGUAGAGAAGCGUUACCUGCAGAAGAAGCACCGGCUAACUACGUGCCAGCAGCCGCGGUAAUUC